CCUGUGAAACACUGAUUAUAUUUCUAUGCUUUGAUAGCAAUAUAAUACUUCAUAUGAGACUGGGAAACAUACUUUCCAACAUUUUAAGUUACCUGUACACCUAACACAACCUGUUAUUGCUGCUUACUUAGAUCCAUGACUUACCAGUCCCACAGCAACAUCACGAAUGCCCAGAAUCCCACAAGCUUUUGUUUUGCUCUGGAAACAACACACUCAAAUAAAGCUCUUUUAUAAACACAAUUGCAUUGCAAUAUCCAGCUGGGUAUAUAUUAAGAAAAACUUCUACCUUUCAUAAAUACAUCAUACAUAAAUUCUGCUCCCAAAAUACAUUCACACAUUUUCCCCGCCUCAGAUCCCUACUUGUACCCAAAGUGUCUGUAACCUGGGAAGGGCAAUUGCUGGGCAAAGCCUAGGGAUAGGCUGAUGUUUGCAGGUCAGGUUGUGAAGAAGCCUUUGGUGUUUGGGUGGUAUUGGAGUUAAGUCCUGCAUCAGUGGGUCUAAUCCUGUCUCCCAGGAAAAACAGGGCUUUCCUGCACCCUUGCUCCAUCAAAGCUGCACCAGCUGCCCUUGUUCAAGUGGCCAAAAGCCAUCCUCCAUCUCACCUUCUAGUUUUCCAGCAGCUACUGGAGAUGCUGAAGUAUCAAACAGCACUUGACAGAGGCUGGAAAAUAAGGGAUUUGGAAGCAGGAAGGUCACUAAGUGGUGGAAGGGGAUCUGUGAAUAGAAGAAUCUGCUUUCAUGGCUCGACCAUGCUCCCAGCACCGCCAUCCCUGUCUGCAACGGGAAUGGCUUUGCUACCGCUGUGGGAGUUGGUCCUUUGCUAACAAAGGAAACAAAUGCCCAUCCCAUGCCCAUUUAGGAAAGCAUAAAUACACAAAAUAUACAAAAACAUCUGCAAAGGAAUCCUAAGUAGCCUCUGGCACAAAAGAAGCACCAGUUAUGCAGCUCAGUAACAUAGGUCCGGUCCCCAUGAACGCGGUUUAUACAGUGUAGGACUCCAGGGGCUGGCCACAGGCCUCCCCCAGAGCUGUACCUGGAUUGUGUGGCUGUGCAAAUACAGGCAGACUAAGCACUAACCUCGCCUGAUCUGGGUUGAGAAGGAAGCCAGACAUACACCCACCCAAAUUCCAUGUUUCCCCCUCAGAAAGGUCAAUGCUGCAAGUGCACAUUCAAAGGGAACGCUGCCCUUUCUACUUGCAAACAGGUCAGUUACAAGCCAGCAUCCCCUUUCCACAAGGCAAUCCUUGGUUAGGGCAAGCUAUCCCUUAAGCUAAUGGUCUAGAGAUGAAUUAAAUUCAUUCUGACUUUUCUCAUCUGCCCAAACCCAAUGUCUUUACAGAGCAACCCAAGAGAAGCAUUGCAUAGAUCUGUCUCGUGUCUUCCCGCACCCAACAAACAGCAAGAAGCAAGUUCAAGUUUCGCACAGUACAUUACAAAAGGCACCACCUUUAAACAAAGCAAGAGAAAAAGAGGUGUCACCACGGUGUAAAUCCUGCAGUGAAAUGAGGCAGUGAACGUACAGUGCUCGGCAGCUCCUGCAGAUGGCUGCCUGUAGUGUACUGAGGAAUCUGCUGGCCAAACCUCCCCUCAAACCCAUCUCCCCCCUUGCAGCCAUCUGAAUUUGCGUAAGUAGAUUUCCUGCUCCUGAACAAAAGGAGCAAUGCUGUGUCACAGGAAGGAGGAGGGCACUGUCAGGGCCAUCUGUUUUGCAUACAGUAGUUUAAGGGCCACGUGGUCCUUGCUGCAAUGCAGACUGCAGGACACCAGGGCUCUUCUCGGGUUUGGGAGGUCUCCAUAGAAGUUUUGCUACAGUUGGCUUUACAUUUCAGAUAUUAGGGCCCAGACCCUCUGGUGGUUUAAACCCCACAUGCUCCAUUGGAGUUACUGGUGCUUA
ensembl:lncRNA